CCACAGUAGCUCAGUGGUAGAGCUAUCGGCUGUUAACCGAUCGGUCGUAGGUUCGAGUCCUACCUGUGAGCCA
rnacentral:tRNA from 1 species